rnacentral:rRNA from 1 species
AUUGAACGCUGGCGGCGUGCUUAACACAUGCAAGUCGAGCGAGAGGCGGACGGGUGAGUAGGGUCUGGGCAACUGCCUGAUGGAGGGGGAUGACGACUGGAAACGGUAGCUAAUACCGCAUACCGUCCUUUGGGCCCAGGGGGGAUUAGCUAGUAGGUGGGGUAAUGGCUCACCUAGGCGACGAUCCCUAGCUGGUCUGAGAGGAUGACCGGCCACACUGGAACUGAGACACGGUCCAGACUCCUACGGGAGGCAGCAGUGGGGAAUAUUGGACAAUGGGCGAAAGUCUGAUGCAGCAAUGCCGCGUGAGUGAAGAAGGCUUUCGGGUUGUAAAGCACUUUUAGUGGGGAGGCGGUAUCUAACGAAGAAGCACCGGCUAACUACGUGCCAGCAGCCGCGGUAAUAC